UGGGGCGUGGCCAAGUGGCAAGGCAACGGGUUUUGAUCCCGUGAUCGCAGGUUCGAAUCCUGCCGCCCCAACCA
rnacentral:tRNA from 1 species